rnacentral:lncRNA from 1 species
CUUUUACGACGGAGCCUAAGAUAUUCUUUGUCUUGUCGGUGAGUGAGUUACAGUCGGAUGACCAAGUGAAAUAUAGGGGUGCAACGAGGAUUUGGAGGCUUCUGAGACUUGAACUUAGGGUACUGGUGUAAACUUCCUCGGAGAAGUGCGCAGCAGCUAAUGAUAUUUCGGGAUUGGAGUCUGGGCCCCAGUGAGAUUCGUACUAAGCGGCCUGACUGAAGGCCGCAUGCGUUCUAGUUCCUGAGUCCCCGCGUGGGUAGGUUUUUACAGCAGGGUUUGCAGCCUUUUGUGCUGUUCCGAAGGUACUAGAGUCACCGAAAGAGACAUCCUAUUAUAUGCACGUUCACAAGGACAAUGGCGCCAUUGUUCUUCGCGUCUUCAAAGCAGCUACAAGAAGAAACCAAGAUGGAGGGGAGCCCAAAGCAUCUGAGAGAAUUGAUAAAUGAAAGAAACAUGCUUAAAACAUGACCGUUUUAAAGGUGAAUGCUGACCAGUGAGAUGCCAGCCUGCGUGUGAAGAUCCUACAGCAGAAGUGCAUGGCCAGUGACACAAGAACUUGCGAGAGAUGCCAGUCCGCCUGUGAAGAUCCUGCAGCAGGAGUGCAUGCUGGAGGAGAGUGUUGAAUUCCCUGGAGCUGGAGUUACAUGAGAUGGUCUUACCUCAGCAGAACAUCAUGGGAGUCUGCUUCAGGAAAACAUCACAUGAGUCUGCAUCACAUAACACAACCAGAAAAUUCCACUACAACCACUCACCUGAAUUACUCUUUCACCUCUAAAUAGAAGGCCUCAUUGCCCCCCCAAUCCAAUGGAGUCCAACGGAAUCCAUGGCCUCUGCAUCAGCUCCAGCCUCUAGGGUCUGCCUGAUUUGAGUUCCUGGUUUGGCUUUCCUCAGUGGACUGUGGCUCAGGAUACAUGAGUCAAAUGAACCCUUUGGUCCUAGAGUUCCUUUUGGAUGUGCUGUUUCGCAUCACAGUGGUAGUAACUCUAAAUAAGACAACCAUGUUGCUGGGCAGUGGUGAAACACACCUUUAAUCCCAGCAUUUGGGAGGCAGAGGCAAGCGAAUUUCUGAGUUCGAGGCCAGCCUGGUCUACAGAGUGAGUUCCAGGACACCCAGGGCUACACAGAGAGACCCUGUCUCAAACCUACCCCUCAACCCCUCCAAAAAAGACAACCAUGUUGAUCACUUCCUUCUUGGAUGUUUUUUCCCUUUGGUGUAUGUAACACAAUCCUCACUGUGUUUUCUUAACUUUAUCUCCUUGCUCCUCAGCUUCUUUUGAAGAUCAGUCUUCUACAUCUCUGCUGAUGUUACUUAAUGUUCUGUACCAGGUUUCCCCCUGUUCCAACUAAGCUAGCAUUCCCAGGAUUCUGUCUUUUUGAGACAAUGUUUCUAUUUAGUUCAGGCUAGCCUUGAACUCACCAUAGAAUUAAGGAGGGCCCUAUACAGAGAAACCCUGUCUCAAAAAACAAAAAACAAAAAAAAA